GACGAACGCUGGCGGCGUGCCUAAUACAUGCAAGUCGAACGCAGUGGGGACGGGUGAGUAACACGUGGCUAACCUCCCAUCAGAGGGGAUAACACUUGGAAACCGGUGCUAAACCGAUACUGAUGGAUGGACUCGCGGUGCAUUAGCUAGUUGGUGAGGUAACGGCUCACCAAGGCCACGAUGCAUAGCCGAGCUGAGAGGGUGACCGGCCACACGGGGACGGAGACACGGCCCAGACUCCUCCGGGAGGCAGCAGUAGGGAAUCUUCGGCAAUUGACGCAAGUCUGAUCGAGCAACGCCGCGUGAGUGAAGAAGGUUUUCGGGUCGUAAAGAUCUGUUGUUAGAGAAGCGGUAUCUAACCAGAAAGCCACGGCUAACUACGUGCCAGCAGCCGCGGUAAUAC
rnacentral:rRNA from 1 species